rnacentral:sRNA from 1 species
CAGCCCGAAGUGAGCCGCAUCUCAACCAUAUACCCAAGGAGGGCUAGCAUGGCUGCGUCCAUAUGACAUGGAUAGAUGAAUAUUUCUUUUGCUGGCUUUCAGGUGGCAAGUCUUUUGUCUUUUCACGAACAAAGGGAACACGAUCUACUAAUUUCAUGAUCCGACCGAGGUACUGACGUCCUCUGCUUUACAUGGAAGACUACUAGCAUCUACUAUCUCACGAUCUCUGUACAUGUCUGUACAUGUACAUUUACUAGUUUCCAAGUCACACAACUUGUCAUAUCUCUAGGUAUAGCAUUAUACAUCACGGUC